rnacentral:misc_RNA from 1 species
AAUUGAUGGGUAAUAGUAAAAACUGUACCCAAAUAAAUGCCAGUCUUAAGUCAUUCAAUUCAAAGUCAACCAUGAAACUACCUUAUUGAGUAUUGACAUCUUCCUAGACACUGGAAAGAACCUUUCAACAUGUGAUGCACAGAACAGGAAAGAAAGAAUCAGUGAAAAGGGAAAGAGAAAAUUCUAUAAAGUUUUGGGAAGUAUACUUCCCA